rnacentral:rRNA from 1 species
CCACAYCUAGUGCCCAACGUUUACGGCAUGGACUACCAGGGUAUCUAAUCCUGUUCGCUCCCCAUGCUUUCGCUCCUCAGCGUCAGUNRCGGCCCAGAGACCUGCCUUCGCCAUCGGUGUUCCUCCUGAUAUCUGCGCAUUCCACCGCUACACCAGGAAUUCCAGUCUCCCCUACUGCACUCUAGUCUGCCCGUACCCRCUGCACRCCCNNGGUURAGCCCCGNGCUUUCACAGCAGACGCGACAHACCGCCUACGAGCUCUUUACGCCCAAUAAUUCCGGACAACGCUUGCGCCCUACGUAUUACCGCGGCUGCUGGCACGUWGUUAGCCGGCGCUUCUUCUGCAGGUACCGUCACUUGUGNCUUCUUCCCU